GGUUUCUGCUAAGUCGCAAGACGAUGUAUAGGAGCUGACGCCUGCCCGGUGCUGGAAGGUUAAGGGGAUCUGUUAGAGCAAUCGAAGCAGUGAACUUAAGCCCCAGUAAACGGCGGCCGUAACUAUAACGGUCCUAAGGUAGCGACAUUCCUUGUCGGGUAAGUUCCGACCCGCACGAAAGGCGUAACGAUUUGGGCACUGUCUCA
rnacentral:rRNA from 1 species